UGAGAGGCGGUGGUUUACCCUGCGGCGGAUGUCAG
rnacentral:tRNA from 1 species